AGGACGAACGCUGGCGGCGUGCUUAACACAUGCAAGUGGAGCGACGAACCAGGGCUUGCCCUGGGGCAAAGCCGCGAACGGGUGAGUAACACGUGGGUAACCUGCCCCGAUGACUGGGACAACCCGAGGAAACUCGAGCUAAUACCAGAUGAUUUCACGGCUCAUGAGAGCCAUGAGGAAAGGAAGCUUCGGCCUCCGCAUUGGGAUGGGCCCGCGGCGCAUUAGCUUGUUGGUGAGGUAACGGCUCACCAAGGCGACGAUGCGUAGCUGGUCUGAGAGGACGAUCAGCCACACUGGGACUGAGACACGGCCCAGACUCCUACGGGAGGCAGCAGUGGGGAAUCUUGCGCAAUGCGACGAAAGCGUGACGCAGCAACGCCGCGUGCGGAGACGCGUUCGGUGUAACGCUUCAGUGGACGAGGUUCGCGGUGAGUAGCGGCGUGGACGUGUACGUACCGUUACGAG
rnacentral:rRNA from 1 species